GGCGGCGUUCCCUCGCUCCGCCCGCGGCUCGAGGGGGCCGGCAGGUCCCGGCAGCUGGAGCGGGACAGAAACGAAAGGGAGAACGCGAAGUAACUUUCAUGAAUUGAUCAGAUGUUUGCAACCAGCAUAAAACAAAGCAUCACUGAGAACACUGAGGUUUUCAUCCAAGUGCUUGGAACAUUGUGCACAUCAGCGUGGGGACGAAUCAUGCCUCUGAAAUUCAGAAAUACUGACAUAACCUCAAUUUGGAGUGCUGAGUUUAGGAGUGAUGUGGAAAAGAACAUAACCUCUGAAUGCUCUGCAAGCUGAAGUAUAAAUGCUUUGUUCUGAAAUGAAUAAAUUGCUUCUUGAAAGCAAUGUAUUACUCACUGAGAAAGAUACACCUAUUGAAUGAAGCAGCACAGUGCAGCUGAGCAGGUGAAAUAUCAUCAGCCUCUGUGAUGCAUUGCUUUCUCAACUCUAUUUAUCUUCUGUUUGCUCUCCUGUAUUAUUUCUUGGAUGGGAUUCACCACCUACUGAAAUACAUAUAUUAAAUAAGCCAUGCUUCCGCAUAAAACUAAGGUUCCUACUGGCUAAAUUGCCUGCAUUACAUUACAGUUAUCCUGAGUGUGAAGUACGUGCCAAUGGAUAAAUUAGACCGAUGACUGAUGAGUGAAUAUUUUGGUAAAUGUGAAACUGUAUUCGGUAAAUAAUAACCUAGCAAGUAAAUAAAAAUGAAGUAUUAUAUGAACUGCACCAACUAUAGAAACAUACUCAGUAGGGAACACAUUAAGGUGCUUUUCAGAUUUUUGUAUCUUUGCCAUCGCCAAAAUGCAUAAAUGCUGUUAGGCAGAUUUAUGAAGCUUUGAAGAAUGUAGGUAAUACUUUCAAUCCUGAUAUGCAUUAGUAGCUUUUUUUCUCUGUAUUUUGUGAGCAUAGAAAAAAUAUUCUUUAGGACUGGUUAUAUUUACUGCAUCUGAAAAAAAUUAUGGCAGUAUAAAUCAUGUGGAUAUGAAAAGCAGUAGUGAGGAAAGUGAAGGUAUUUAUUCAAAGAAAGGGAUGUAAGUUUAAAGAUGAAGUUUUCAGUAUGAUUAUAAUGUUUAAUUAGCUAUCUAGGUUAAAAAUGUUUAUCAACAUGCAGCUGACAUCUUCUUUGUCACUCUACCAUGUAUAAAGAAAGCUUGAGAGAUUAAAAGAUUGUGGGGGGUAUUUUCUUUCAAACAUCUUUAUUUUUAUUUAUGGAUAUCUCCAUACAUAUAUCCCAGGUAAGUAUAUGUGGGCUUUUUUUUUAAUCUCAGGAAUCUCAGGAACACUGAGAUUGAAAGCUCCUGGGUGGUAUCAGGUUUGUAUGAGUUCUGCAUCUUCCUUCAGAAAGCCUAAGAGAUUGUGCUACAACAAAUAAUGCUUUCUUCUGGGAGUUUCUCCUGGUGAUAAUAUUUUUUCUCUGCUGAUUGUAGACAAAGAUGUAGAUGACAAGUGUAGAACAGAUGCCUAACUUCAUGUGCCACUACGGCACAUGCACUGACCUAAUUAAGGUCAGAUUUAAUCCUAAAGAGAUUCCUUGUUAUUCUAGAUCAUCUUGAAACCAACCCAACCUAUCCCCUCACCUGAUAGCAUAAACAGUGGGGAGACUUCAGCCCAAGAUAUUUUCACUGUAAAUUCAAAUGUAGAGAGAGGGAAUAUGUCUAAGGAAACAUCAUGUCAUCAAAGCUGAUCUAUUUUCAAGAAAAAUAGCAGUUACAACUAUGAUUUACUUUAGGAAAAUGUUUUGAGAUUCUGAAUAAGGGCAGGGACACAUGGUACUUGUGUACAUAUGUUGUCCAUUCAUGUAAUAAAAAACUUCUAGCAAGAAACCUUUAGGUAUAAUUCAACAGAAUUACUUGUUUUUAACAGUUCAUGCCAAAAUAUCAGACUAUUCAAAUAGCUACAUAACCCAAAUAGGGAAACUUAGGGAAGCUAAAAUGACUUCUAUGAUUGUACUAACAUAAAUUUAAAAUUAUUAAGCAAAGGAAGGCAAUAACUCUUGGUUUGCUUAUACUCAUGAUGUCAUUUUCAACACAGGUAUGGUUAAAAUAUAUCUCUUAUAUUUCAUUCAUUUUUGUAUCAUAGGGAAGCAGUUUGCUCUUAAUUAGAAAUGUCAUUUUAAUGCCAUAUUCUUUCUCUAUUCAGUGGUGAAAAUUUUGUUUUUCCUGAAAAAGUCCAGAUUUAUUAUAACCAUCAAAUAUGUUUCUGACAGUCUGAAGAACAUCUGUUGUGCUGUCAUAAGGAUGGUCUAUAGGAAUUUUUUAAUUUUGAAGAUCUGAAAUAUCUGUAAGUUUCACCAUAAUAAAAUUAAUUUACAACUCCUAAUAUAAACUUUCUGUUGAGUCAAAUGUUGUAGAACUAUUUCCAUAUUACUUUGGUAAAUUAAACAUGUAAUGAAAUACUUUCAUUAGUUGGUUUUUUUUUCAGAAUAGGUCCAAUCCUGUAUCUGUUGAGUUAUGCAUCCUGCACGUUAUGUGUGCAUAGUGACUGUCUGUUCUGACCUGUGGAACAUCACUGCUGAGAGCUGUUGUCUGUGCCUUGUAUCAUCAGUGCUGUCUGUGAGAAAGUGGCAUAAAUCAUUGAUGUAAAAAUGAUGAUUGGGCAGCAUUUUGCACUCAUUUUAUGCUAGACUUGCAGAUGCGUAAAUGAUUGUACAGUACAGUGAUAAACUGAGUCUGUAAAUGUUCUCUUCCAUAUUUUCCACAAGAAACAGCACAUGUAUAACACUAAUAAAUUAGAUGUCAAGUUGGAAAAACAUCCACUUUCAUCUUCUAUCGUACUGUCAAAUAAAAUGAGGAUUGUACAGGCAUUGGCAGUUUGAUCUGUUAGCAGAACUUUGCACCUGUUCACUGCAUAAGUAACAACCAUGUACUCAAAGGCAUGUGUGUUGUUGCAUAGGAAAAUAAGGAAUUAGAUGCCGGGUGCACAGGUUGAUAUUCCAUAUGUAAUUGUAGUGCAUUGAAAACUAUUUGCAUAACUGUUAGAAAUAACAGAGUUCUGUAAAUCUGGAACUAAUAUAAUAAAACAAGAUUGUAAUUUCUUGCAAAGCAAGUACGUCUCUAAAUAUGCAGUUAUAGAUGGCCAGUCUUGACCUACAAGUGUUAACUGCUGAAGAACACACAAUUCUCCUAGCCAAUUUUCACAAUAAUUGAUACUACCAUUAGUAAAAUGUGCUCUGGAUUUCCAGUGGGAAUUUAUAGUUUCUCAGUGGUGGAUCUUGCCAUGCCCUUGUCUGAUAGAAUGAAGUGACAACUACUACCAGAAAUCAUGCACAUCACUUCUUAACUAUUCCACUGACAAGAAAAAUAAAUUGGCCUUGUUAGAUUUACUGAGUACAUUAGUAGAGUUGCAGCCUUUUUUUUCCCCCAGUUUUCUAUAAGCACAACAUGAAUAUAAGUAGCAGUCUCAUAAGUAACACUACUCGUUAUGAAUUAUUAUGAAUACUACUCAUUACUUGAAUUUCCACUGAUCAUACAUCCAAAGCACUGUAGCAACAGCCUACUCUUAUGACCUGUAUGCUGACUAUCCACAGUGUCCCCUGUAUCUUUUCCAGGUUCACUGAUCUCCUGAAUUCAGUAUUCCAUCUCAUGUGUGACCUAAAGUUAUUUUAUUGCAUUUGGCCAUCUCAGAGUACAACUAGAUAAAGUCAUGUGCUGGCUUGUCAUUUGGCUGUGAUUUGACAUUAUCUGCUUCAGAGCUCAUCUUCGUCUGACAAAGC